UUUGACCUCGAAUCAGGUAGGACUACCCGCUGAACUUAAGCAUAUCAAUAAGCGGAGGA
rnacentral:rRNA from 1 species